GAUAAUGAUGUUAUUACCAGCUGAUUAAGGAGGAGUAGUGUAAGUGUAAGAUGGGUACGAACGUCAUCUUGUGACAGCAUCACCUUUGUUUGGCUAAAGUACAAGAGAACUGCAGCAUGUAAGACUACAUGUACAUCGACUUUGAAUAAUCUACCUGGUAUAUCCUCAAAAAGGCAACUCAAAUACAGAAAGUGCAUAUAAUUUGGAAAAGAGACCAUCAAUCCACUGGGGGGUAUCGCAUGAAAGCAAUGAUUAUAGAAUAUUGUAAGGUUGGAGGAUCGAGUUAUAGUACAACAGGCAG